UAAAUUAAUAUACAGAUUUCAGGCCUAAAUCUGUGUAAUAUAAUUGAUUAAUGUGAUCAAAGAACCGAGUAUUCAGAGAAAGGUCUGAAGACCACGUGACCACAUCCGAUGGCGAUUUGCCUUUAUGUUCAUUAGUUUAAAUUGAGAACUUGGUCAAACUGUGGCGCACAUCGAUGGCGUGCAGUCGGCCCGGGGAGCAGCCAAUGGAGCAGCAGCG